GGGAAGAAUUUUUUUCUGUAUGGUUUCCUCGUGUAAAAUAAAUCGAAAAAGAAAUAUUCGUGAGUAAGAAACUGAUCAAACUCUUGAUCCAUUCUUGCGCUAAUACAUCUGUUUCGUCGCCUUCACCAUCUGAAUUGUUAUUCGAGCUAAAAUAAAAAAUAAAAAUAAAAAAUCAAAGAAAGUUUAAUCCCUUGACAGUUCGCUCCAAACGGAUUGGCAGAAAGUGAUGUUUGUAAUUCUUCGCUAGUUUUUCACCAAAAUUUCCGUGACACUCGAAAGACGGAUCAAACCGAAUAAAGUUAGAUGUAUCGAUUUUGGACCUGGACCAAUAGUGUGUGUGUGUGUGUGUGUGUGUGUGUGUGUGUGGUUUUUUUGCUUAGGAAAAGAGACUUAGAUCUAUGCGACUCGAGAGAUAUUCCCGAAUUGCAAGGAUUGUGUACAUUUUCCUUUCUGUAUAUCCUCUAUUUUGAGCAGCGUUUGGUUUUUCCUCCAGAUCACUUUUUUCACACUCUGAAUGCAUAGAUGAAAGUAAAUCGAUCCCAAUUAAUUAAUGUAUUAAUUAAAUAAAAACAAAAACAAACUUUAACCGUGGAUCCUGUUUAUUUCGAGGAGAAAGUUGACGUGACGUGUUUAGCACCAUUUUAGCUGGUACAAAUCUUACAGGAUUUGUUUUCUGGCUUCGCAUUUAUUUACCAUAUCUUUCGAAAUUCAUCAAAAUACAGCGAGCCACUGUUUAAAUUUUGUACCAACCCGAAAAGUAUCGGUUUUGGAUUUCUCCUCGAAAAUCUUAUCGUAUAUGGUCUAAAAAAAUUUUUUUUUUACAACGUCCACUAACUAAAAUUUUAAAUUUAAACUAUGCCGACUUCAGACAGGUAGACUAUAUGAUAUCUUUUACGCUUGGAUUUUUUCCAUAAAAUGUUUUGGAAGGUUUUCGUAGACGGAAGAUAACGAUUGUAAAUAAAUCUGUCUGAUAGAUUUAUGGUAAAGAAACGUCUGUUAUCGACAGUCUCUACUUGUAGGUGAUGAUAAAAUAUAUAUUAAAUUCGUAAUCUUUGCUGCCAAAACUGUCUUUAUUGCUUGUUAUCGUCGAAUGUCUGGGAAAAAGGGCAAACGUCUUACUCGAAUUAACACAUCGACCACAACGUGAAAACGCGUGUUGCAAGUUUGAUAAGUAAUAAUUACGCUAGAGAAAGAGACAGAAAUCGAACCUAAAUUGAUAGAAAAAAAAUAUACUAUUAAGAAGGAAGAAAUGAAUUCAGAAAUUCGAUCGAUUGACCAAACAAAAUUGAAAAGAAAAAAAAAUACUCGUCUGUUCUUUCUACAUGUAUAAAUUCACCAACUGUUCUAUAAUCGAAAAAAAUCGAUUUAUAGUUGUGUUUUUAGAAGAAUUAUCAAAAUAAGUUUCGAUAUUCUACUCUCUAUACGUCGGAGAAAUAAUUAAUUCUAGUCUGUUGCACAAAUUAGUCUUCUUUACCUUCGUAUCUUUUAUCUUUCCUCUUAAUUACUUUUUUGUAACGGUUUAAAUUAAGCGUGUUUAACAAGAAAAACACCGCUGCCGGGUAUCGCUUGUCGUAAUUUGAUAUCCGACUUAUUAGAAGGCAUCCCCAUCUAAACCGUUUCGAACGAUUAAACAAAUCGCACUCCUCGUUGAUAGCGCAUCUUGUUUAACACAUUAAUAGCGUAUUUCUGAAAACAUGGAGACGGACUUGUAUAUUUGUAUAUAAUAUAUCAACGAUCGAGUUUGAAACUUAUCAGGGCUUUAAUGCGUUGAUCUGAACCAUAAAUGGAAAGUUUCAACCAUCCAAAUCGUCGUAUAUAGAGCGAGUUUGUUCAGAAUAGCGAAUUUAAUAUCAGCCGCAUUUUAAAAUGUCCAAAGAUCAAAGAUUCUCCUCCUCAGAUCAAACUGAUAGCUGAUAAAUGCCUCUAAUUACUAUUGCAAACCGAAAUAUUGACUCGAUUUCUAGAUUAUUGAUGGGAGAGGGAUUGUUUUCGUCUAUCGACAAAUUGGAUCUUCAAGACGAUGACAUAAAAUUAGACGCGGCUGGGACGACGAUUACGUUCUAUAAAAGCAAUAGGAGCACUUUUUUCCUGAAGAUUAUUGCCAAACUUUAUUGUAACAACUGGACGUAAGGGAUUGGUUAUGUCAAGCAGAUGUUGCGAAUAUCCAGCUGCGCUUUCUCUUCACUCUCUCUCUCUAACCAACAGUCAUUUUUGUAAGUCCGAUCGAUAAGUAAACUCUCGUCGCUAUGUCGUUUUAAACAAUAUGGCUUCAGUUACGCAUUCUUUGAUGAUUCUUAUUAUUCCGAUUUGUUUCUUUCCGUCGAAUUAAACGUAGAACAAUUACUACUUCUAGUACCAUCGAAACGAUCCAGAAAAUUUUCGUGUUUUAUCUCCUCGAUAAACGUAACAAUCUCUACCACUUGUAUCUGCUAAACUUUCGCAAGAUUUGCAAAAAUAAUGAUAAACUGAAGAUCACAAAAUGUCGGGUUAAGUAGAUUUUUACAGGAUAAGAAAAGCCUGUUAUUGUUGUUGUUGAAACCUUUUAUGUGCG
rnacentral:lncRNA from 1 species